ACCAUAAGAAAAAAUAAAUAAAAUAAAACACAUUCAAAAUGCUUUAGAAGGAUAUUGACUUACUGGAAAAAGUUCAGAGGAAGGCUACUAAGAUUAUUCUGGGAUGGAAGGGCUAUUUUACAGGGACAGUUGAAGCUGAUGAAAUCAAGAGGCUUGGAAAAAGAUUUAAAAACUGGACUUGGACAAUCCUGGUUCUUUAAGUGUGGAUUAGUUCAUGUCCUUACCAGAACUUCAGCAGAACCCUUUAGUACAGAGAGUCAUAGAAAUAUUUGAUACUGAUGGGAAUGGAGAAGUUGACUUUAAAGUUGAGUGUUAAGUGGUUACUAUAAAAUGCAGUGUAUCAAAAUGUAUAAGAU